CCAGCCGUAAACGAUGGGUACUAGGUGUUGUCACUUCAUUGUGGCAGUGCCGGAGUUAACGCAAUAAGUACCCCGCCUGGGGAUUACGGCCGCAAGGCUGAAACUCAAAGGAAUUGACGGGGGCCCGCACAAGCGGUGGAGCAUGUUGUUUAAUUCGAAGCAACGCGUAGAACCUUACCAGGGCUUGACAUCCCUCUGACAGGCAUAGAGAUAUGCUUUCUCUUCGGAGCAGAGGAGACAGGUGG
rnacentral:rRNA from 1 species